CUCAAGAGGGCUAAGACAGGAGAAUCACUUGAACCCGGGAGUCAGAGGUUGCAGUGAGUCAAAAUCACGCUCCAGCCUGGGCAAUAAGUGAGACCCCAUCUCAAAAAAAAAAAAAAAUUCUAUGUGUGGCAAGGGUGGAACAGGGAAUAGGCAAUUUGUUAUGAUACUUGAGAAACUGGGUUACACAAUUCGUUGAUUUUUUUGUGUGUGUGAGGAGGAGAUUACACAAAUCAGAGAAGGAAUCAAAUAUAGAAGAAGUUCUUUUUUGGGGCUCUACGUUCAACUGCAUGCUUAGUUCCUCAUGUUCUCAAGAAGUUCCUUGCUUAUUUCUUGGGUAGUAUCAAUUUUGCUGUUAACUAUCACCACACAGAACAAAAACGAGCACAGUGAAAAUAUAUUAAAUAUUCCAUAUGAAAGAAAGUAAAGUUCCUAGCCAUAAAAUAAAACAUUUUGGUCAUUGUUUUGGAGGAUGGAGAUUAUCAUCUUGACCAAAGCUAAUCUUGGCAUCAAAACCUGUAGCUAGUGGGACCGUCAACGGUCAUUGUUUAUCAGGGGAGAGAGGAAAGGGAAAAGGAGGAACUGCAGAUGGCUGACACAGGGACCGGAGGUUGUGGCUCUGUCACAUGCUGGUCGCCGGAAGAGGUCUAGGCCCAGGAGAGGAGUGCCUCUUUGGUCGGGGGAAGUAAGUGCCCAGGGCUGUGUGUUCAUUAUGGGCUUCACCUUCUCCAUUCCACGGGGUGCCCAGCAGCUAAGCAGAGCUGGGAGGUAGGUCAGGCUGCCUGUUGGAGCUCAUGGAGGCAUCCCCACCUAGGGAAGAAGAGGACUUGGCCAGGUGGCCCUGUGGUUCUCAGCAUCUACCAAUGAUUCCUUCACUCUUAACAUCAUGAAACAAAGGAUGGAGUGCAAUGGCAUGAUCUCAACUUACUACAACCUCCUCCUCCCAGGUUUAAGCAAUUCUUCUGCUUCAGCCUCCUGAGCAGCUGGGAUUACAGGUUCCUGCCACCAUGUUCUGCUAAUUUUUGUAUUUUUAGAAGAGAUGGGGUUUCACCCUGUUGAGCAGGCUGGUCUCAAACUCCUGAUCUCAGGUGAUCCACUCUACCUCCCAAAAUGCUGGGAUUACACACGUGAGCCACUAAGCCUGGCCGAUUCCCUUUUAAAUAUAUGUUUGCAUAAAUAUCUUGAAGGCUAUAAAUAAACAUUUUCAUUAUUUUGGAAUGGUAGAAUUAUAAGUUCAUUUUUGUUUUCUUCUUUUUUGUUUAUCUAUAUUUUCUAUAAUGAAUAUCUAUGCAUAUAAUAGUAAAGGUCAAGUUAUAUUAAAAUUGAGGCAUGCUGGGCGUGGUGGCUCAUGCCUGUAAUCCCAGCACUUUGGGAGGCUGAAGUGGGUGGAUCACUUGAAGUCGGGAAUUCCAGACUAGCCUGACCAACAUGGAGAAACACUGUCUCUACUAAAAAUACAAAACUAGCUUGGCAUGGUGGUGCAUGCCUAUAAUCCCAGCUACUCAAGAGGCUGAGGCAGGAGAAUCAUUUGAACCUGGGAGGCAGAGGCUGUGGCGAGCCAAGAUCGUGCCAUUGCACUCCAGCCUGGGCAACAAGAGCAAAACGCCAUCUAAAAAAAAAAAAAAAAAAAAAUUGAGGGGAGGCCAGGCACAUUGGCUCAUGCUUGUGAUCCCAGCACUUUAGGAGGCUGAGGCUGGAGAAUCAUUUGAGAGCAGCCUGGGCAACUUAGAGAGACCCCCAUUUCAAAAAUUAUUAAUAAUUAAUAAAUAAAAUUGAAAGGAAAGGACAGAGACAGAGGAAGAAAACUACGGAGUUGGGAGAAGGAGGACACAAUGUUUUUUGAGGCAUGUGAUGAUCCCGAUAUUCUACUGAACUGUAUUUCCCAGUGUUAAUUGCCUGCUCUUUGCAUUUAGUAGCUAUUUGACUACUAUGUCCAGUGUUUUAAGGGUUCUAAUUCUUACAUCUUUAGAACUGUAUUUUUAAACCAGAGGUGCAUAUGGGAAUCAGCAAGGAAACUUUUUCAAAAUGUCUGUGCUAAUGUUUCAGAAUUUUGCUCCUGAUUCAGCUAAAACCAGGUUCUUUUCACAUGACCAAGAAAAUUUAGGCACGUGGACACUCUAUUCACAUUGAAAGGUGAAUAGAGAAGGAUUUUAUUGGGUGAAAAGGGAAAACCAAAAAAAAAAAAGAAAAAAAACUCAGCAAAGGGAGUUGGAGUGCUGCUAACAGGAUCCCACCUCACAGACUGAAUACCAGGGCUCCUCCCCUUGCCUGUGGCUUCACCCUGCUCCCCAGGGCUCAUGUGGGCAUGUUCAGACAAGGCCCUGGGCAUGUUCCUUCACCUGCACAAGAGCAUCUGAUGUAAACACUUGUGGGGAGGGUGGGAGAUUCUCCCCUUUUUAUCUGCCUAGGCAUUUGGCUGUCUGUCUAGGGCCCUACCCUCAGAAGUUCUGAUUCAGAACGCCUAGGUAGGGUCUGAGUAGGAGUCUUUUGAAAACCUUUAUAAGUGUUCAGAUACUCAUCAUGGUGGAAAGUUCCUUGGUGUGUAAGACACUGAGGUACUGAAUAAAAAGAUUAGAACUUCUAAUUUUAUUUUCUAUUGCAUCCUUUAAAAAAUCUCUACAUAUUUGUAUGUUAGUAUUAUACUGAGUAUUAUACUGAUAUCAAUAUGACAUGUAUAACCUGUAAAUAAAUAUAUUUAUAUA